UACGAGUGCCUCGAGCGUUAUCCGGAAUUAUUGGGCGUAAAGGGCGCGUAGGCGGAUGGUACAGUCAGAUGUGAAAUUCCUGGGCUCAACCUGGGGGCUGCAUUUGAUACGUGCUGUCUUGAGUUCGGAAGAGGGUCGUGGAAUUCCCAGUGUAGAGGUGAAAAUUCGUAGAUAUUGGGAAGAACACCGGUGGCGAAGGCGGCGACCUGGUCCGAUACUGACGCUGAGGCGCGAAAG
rnacentral:rRNA from 1 species